AUUGAACGCUGGCGGCAGGCCUAACACAUGCAAGUCGAACGGAGUGGCGGACGGGUGAGUAAUGUCUGGGAAACUGCCUGAUGGAGGGGGCUAACUACUGGAAACGGUAGCUAAUACCGCAUACUAGAAGAUGAGCCUAGGUCGGAUUAGCUAGUUGGGGGGGUAAAGGCCUACCAAGGCGACGAUCCGUAACUGGUCUGAGAGGAUGAUCAGUCACACUGGAACUGAGACACGGUCCAGACUCCUACGGGAGGCAGAAGUGGGGAAUAUUGGACAAUGGGCGAAAGCCUGAUCCAGCCAUGCCGCGUGUGUGAAGAAGGUCUUCGGAUUGUAAAGCACUUUAAGUUGUGAGGCGUUACCAACAGAAUAAGCACCGGCUAACUUCGUGCCAGCCGCCGCGGUAAUAC
rnacentral:rRNA from 1 species